UGACUACUGCUUGCCAAAAGAACAUGUACAUAAUGCUUCGUGAUUGAUAUUCCUUCAGUGAGACCAGACGCUUUCACUAAAUAUAUGUAAACAGAUGAGAAUGAAGAUACCAAAUACUCAUGUGGAUUUGGUGGAUUUAGAGUAAAAAAUAUUCAAGCUUCUCAUGGACAAGUAUCGAUCGGUCGGGACGCGAAACCGUAUGAAACCGAUCGGUUUGGAUUUCUUACUGAUCUGUUUGGCUUUUGUAAAGUUUCAUUUUUCUAAGUUUUAGGGCUUCGACUCAUUAUAUUCUAGCCGCCGAGGUACGACUUUUUGUGCGAUUUUCUAGUGUCUAGGGUUGUUCUUCUUUAUAUAGCUUUGUUUAAUAGAUUCUUUAAAUCUUUUGGAAAUCACAAUUCAA
rnacentral:sRNA from 1 species